UACGUAGGGACCGAGCGUUGUCCGGAAUCAUUGGGCGUAAAGAGCGUGUAGGCGGCUAUUUAAGUCCUGCGUGAAAUCCUGCGGCUCAACCGCAGACGGUCGUGGGAAACUGGAUGGCUAGAGUGCGGGAGAGGAGAGUGGAAUUCCCGGUGUAGCGGUGAAAUGCGCAGAUAUCGGGAAGAACACCCGUGGCCGAAGGCGGCU
rnacentral:rRNA from 1 species